CACCCAGAGGCACAAUUCUAUAGAAACAAAGCCUUGAUGAACUACAAUGAUUUGUGCUUGAUAUAUGCACAUACAACAGGGGAUGGAAGAUACAGCCUAUCAAGUCAUGAUAUAGACUUUGAUGAUGACAUUCAAGGAGUGAAUACUGGCACACCCAGAUGCGCACUCAUAUCAUAGGAAGGCCUUGCUAAGCUAUGGAGAUUUGAAUUGAUAUUUGGAAAUGCAAUCAGCAACGGACAUUGCAGUCAUUUAUGGCAAGGGAGAAACUUUGAAGAUGAUAUAAUACAUAUCAAGACGGGUUAGGUUCAUUUCUUGAAUGUGUAGGAGGACCUUUAUAGGGAACCUGUAUUCUUGAGGACAUCCUCUUCAAUUUAUUAAUAUAGUCCUGUUUACUUAUCGAAAUAAAAAUGCUGGUUUCAUCUUUAUACAUGCAACUUGGGAUUUAUUGAUUGUCACAAUUAGGACUCUGGUUAAUAUUAGGGUGUCCAGUAGGUCUUUAACCUUCACAAAUGGAAUUUUAUCAGAUAUGUUUAAUUACAGAGAUUCGUAUACUGUAUGACAGUUUUUUUUUUUCUUGAUGUAUGCUAUCCUUAAAUGGAAGUUCAAUUUAUAGGUUCUAGUUUUUUCAUUACAUGCCUGUAGGCAUGCCCAGUUCAUUAAGAUCCAUGAGAUUUUAAUUCAUUUUAAUAAUUUCUUUAAAUUUUCUCUUAGGGUUGGGACAGAUUUACUAGGCUGUGGGUAUUGUUCUGUAGUCUGUACCCAUCUUAUUGCUAUCCGAUUAUGUUGUUGAAUUAUAUGAGUUACUGUUUGUCAAUGAUGGCAAGUAUAAUGUGCUUCUAGCAUAAUUUAUGUUUAAAAGUCUGAAAUGUUUUGUUGAAUGAAAAGUUAUUUAUUACCCUCAUAAAUCAGUUAGUUUUGCCUUUCUUGUAGUUGAAGAAAAGGAGGGCUGUACCUCUUCUAACAGUGAAUGUCUUUAAACAAAUUGGACAUCAACAAUGGAUCGUUACCUCAUUGAAUUGUUACCAGACCAGGUGCUUAGAGGGAAUAAAAUUGGUCAUGGAUUUGUGUCUGAGGCAUGGAUUGAAAUGGUUGGACUGUUCAAUGCAAAAUUUGGAUGUCACAUGACAAAGAUGGUCUAAGGAAAAGAUACAAACAUUUGAGGGGACAAUAUAAUGAUAUAAAGGUUCUUCUUGACCAGGGCAGGUUUUCUUGUGAUGAAACGGGAGAAAUGGGAUUUAUAUGUUCUCCUGGCUCUUGACUUUUAAUGUAAAAAUCCUUCUUGGUGUUUUCAUGCUGAGGACUUGAAAUUAAAUUUUAAGGUCCAAGGGACAAUUUUAUUGGCUUGAUCUGGUCAAACAAGAUAACCAAAAAAAGGGGGGGGGGGGGGGUGGCAAGCAUUUGUGCAGUUGGUGAAGAGGAUGACCUCUGUUGCCAAUAGUGAGCUUGAUGAAAGAGUACUGGACAUCAUGGAUCUCCUCAAUUAGAAUGGCUUUGCUUGGGAUGAAAUUUGCAAAAUAGUGGCAGCUGAUGUUGAGCUUUGGGAAGCUUGUAUGAAGGAUCAUCUGGAUGCAAUUGCGUAUAGAGAUAGGAUCUCAUAUUUGUGAA